rnacentral:lncRNA from 1 species
AUUUCUAAUUUAUGCGUCUUUAGACCCUCACGCGUCAUUUUGUGGGCAACCAAACGGGCGUUUUCACAUUAGCUCAAAGUAUCCAAAUCCAAAGAAGAGAGAAAACACGCACACAGAGACAGACACCCACAAACACACAGGAAAUACGUAAUCUGUUCAAGGAAUAUGAAAUGGAUGCAGGAAUCAGAGCAAAGAAUUUUGACAUUGUGAACUCUUGA